CUCUCCUUCAUAGCAAUCUGAGCUCACAGUGAGGAGGCAAAUAUAGUGUGUAUAUCUGCUAUGUUGAGCAGCGUGAGGGUGGCUGAAUUAGUUCAAGCUCAAGACUUCACAAGAAAAGAUACUAAGGCAUUUGGAUGAUCAGGAUUGCAAGUAUGAGGGUCCAGGGCACUGUCGGCCUUGCCUUUCCCUGCCCAUACGCUAGGCUCAGAUUCCAAGAUCAGUCCAGGACCAUCAUCCCCAGAUCCAAGUCAAGAGUCACAGAAAAAGCAACAACAACAACAAACCACCAAAUCCAGGGUCUGAUAAAUCGCAGAAGAAUCAGGAGCCAAGAGAAGAGAAAGAACCAUGUUCAAGGAAAACAAGAUUAAAGUAGAGCUCAUCCUGGCAAAUAAGUCAUUUUGGCGUGAAUACCAAGUGUUACGGUUCUGAGAUUAUCGUAAGAGCAGAUAAUGCCAAAAGAAAGGUUAAAAGGAGAAAGAGACAUCUGUUAAAGCCAGUAAAGGAAAAAUCUGGGGAUUAGAAUACAGAAAACGCUAUUUAAUGGCUCAGGGAUUCACUGAGAGCAUUUACCUCUUCGCUUCAUAAAACAGCCCAAUGACAAAUUUGUUCCAGUCAUCAGUGUGGUCAGCUAGGCUGCUACGCAACUAUUGCCUUGUAUGGCCUGGCUGGUUGUUAUUAUGGGAUGUUCUGAUUGCACUCUCCUUGCAACUGUUACACUUUAUUUUCAGCCACCAGGGCCCUUUCCCUGGUCUGCCUUGUGCCUACCUAAUCUUAUUAAACACAGUAAGACCCAUGUAAUGGAGCAGAAGGUAAGAAGGUACGGAAG
rnacentral:lncRNA from 1 species